AAAGAUCCGUCGGAUGAGGAUAGGCUCGCGUGACAUUAGCUUGACGGCGGGGUAACGGCCCACCGUGGCGACGAUGUCUAGGGGUUCUGAGAGGAAGGUCCCCCACACUGGAACUGAGACACGGUCCAGACUCCUACGGGAGGCAGCAGUGAGGAAUAUUGGUCAAUGGCCGGAAGGCUGAACCAGCCAUGCCGCGUGAAGGUCAGUGCCCUAUGGGCGUUAAACUUCUUUUGUGCGGGAGCAAUAAGGUCCACGUGUGGACCGACGAGAGUACCGUACGAAUAAGCAUCGGCUAACUCCGUGCCAGCAGCCGCGGUAAUACGGGGGAUGCAAGCGUUAUCCGGAUUUAUUGGGUUUAAAGGGUGCGUAGGCUGUGAGGUAAGUCAGCGGUGAAAUGCCCCCGCUCAACGGGGGAAGUGCCAUUGAUACUGCCUUGCUGGAAUGCGGAUGCCGUGGGAGGAAUGUGUGGUGUAGCGGUGAAAUGCAUAGAUAUCACACAGAACACCGAUUGCGAAGGCAUCUCACGAAUCCGCUAUUGACGCUGAUGCACGAAAGCGUGGGUAUCAAACAGGAUUAGAUACCCUGGUAGUCCACGCUGUAAACGAUGAUGACUAACCGUCGGCGAUACACAGUCG
rnacentral:rRNA from 1 species